GACGAACGCUGGCGGCGUGCUUAACACAUGCAAGUCGAACGGAAAGGCCCUGCUUGCAGGGUGCUCGAGUGGCGAACGGGUGAGUAACACGUGGGUGAUCUGCCCCUUACUUUGGGAUAAGCCUGGGAAACUGGGUCUAAUACUGGAGAGGACCAUGCUGUAGGUGGUGUGGUGGAAAGAUUAGUUUCGGUAAGGGAUGAGCUCGCGGCCUAUCAGCUUGUUGGUGGGGUAAUGGCCUACCAAGGCGUCGACGGGUAGCCGGCCUGAGAGGGUGGACGGCCACAUUGGGACUGAGAUACGGCCCAGACUCCUACGGGAGGCAGCAGUGGGGAAUAUUGCACCAUGGGCGCAAGCCUGAUGCAGCGACGCCGCGUGGGGGAUGACGGCCUUCGGGUUGUAAACUCCUUUCAGCCAUGACGAAGCCCUUGUGGUGACGGUAGUGGUAGAAGAAGCACCGGCUAACUACGUG
rnacentral:rRNA from 1 species